rnacentral:rRNA from 1 species
GUCCUACGGGACGCAGCAGUAGGGAAUCUUCCACAAUGGACGAAAGUCUGCUGGAGCAACGCCGCGUGAGUGAAGAAGGGUUUCGGCUCGUAAAGCUCUGUUGGUAGGGAAGAAAGAUAGAGGUAGUAACUGGCCUUUAUUUGACGGUAAUUACUUAGAAAGUCACGGCUAACUACGUGCCAGCAGCCGCGGUAAUACGUAGGUGGCAAGCGUUAUCAGGAUUUAUUGGGCGUAAAGCGAGCGCAGGCGGUUGCUUAGGUCUGAUGUGAAAG